GUUACCGCACCUUUACAAUUUUUUUUGCGGAUGUUCGAAACUCGAACAACAAGAAAAAAAUAAGAGUUAAAGAUUUUCACCAUGCAUAACUACCCCUGACUGACUUCAAUCUCUAUUUUCCGGUUUCGAUCAUCAUUCUUUUCUAUACCAUACGCCACCGCGAUCGGUAAUAGUUUUUCAUCCAAAUAGAAAAGUGACUGUACCAAAUAGUUAAAAUUUUUACACAGUUCAAAAGCUUAUGUAGAGCAUAUAUUUCAUUUUUGUAUGCCUAAAGUGUUUUACAGUAUAUUUAGUUAAUUUGCUAAGUUCGAAUACUUUUAACUACGUCACCAUAGUUUAUCUUAGCACCAGGCAAAAAUAAAAAGAAAAGAAACUAAGGAAAAAGGUCACGUGCACUUGUCAUAGGUGAUAUUGCUAAAUCUCAGCCAGAUCUCAAUAACAAAAUCAAAGCUCAUUGUGUUCAAGGCUAACUUCUUUUAACCAGAUCGAGAAGCCAGAUCGCUAGGUUUGCGAUAAGACACUUCGGCGAAAGCACGAGGAUCGACAUUCUCAUUGCUUAUCACCAGCCCAGAUUCGUCCAGCAAACAGGUGGUGAUAAGAUCAGGAAUCUCUGUUUGUCCCACUGCUUGUGCCAUUACAGUGGGAAAGCACAUGGUCAGAACAAACCUAAAGUGAAGCCCUGCCAUUCCACUACCGCUUGUGACAAAUAGCACAUUCAUCACAUAUCCAUAUUUUUGAUAUCUACUUUCCAGCAUCAGCGUUCGCGCUAUAACCACUGCCAUUCACCUCAUCAUAAUUCUUAACCAACAUAAAUUAUCCUAAAAUACCAAAAUUUGACAAUCAUCAUCUGUGUUAUCAUCAACAAAAAACUAAAAUAAU